GUUGACCUCGGAUCGGGUAGCAUACCAAG
rnacentral:rRNA from 1 species